GAAAGUAAGCAAGGGCAGACGGUGGAUGCCUUGGCUCUCGGAGGCGACGAAGGACGUGAUAAGCUGCGAAAAGCCCGGGGGAGGCGCAAAUAGCCCUUGAUCCCGGGAUAUCCGAAUGGGGCAACCCGGCAGGCUGAAGGCCUGCCAUCCCGUAAGGGAGGCGAACGUGGGGAACUGAAACAUCUAAGUACCCAUAGGAGGAGAAAAUAAACAAUGAUUCCGUAAGUAGUGGCGAGCGAACACGGAAGAGCCCAAACCCGUGCCGUCUAGGCGACACGGGGGUUGUAGGACCACGACGUGGCAAGAUAGAGUCAAGUGGAACGCCUUGGAAAAGGCGACCGUAGAGGGUGAUAGUCCCGUACACGACUGACGAUUGAAGCCUAGUGGCAUCCUGAGUAGCGCGGGGCACGAGAAAUCUUGCGUGAAACUGCGGGGCCCAUCCCGUAAGGCUAAAUACUCCCGAGAGACCGAUAGCGAACCAGUACCGUGAGGGAAAGGUGAAAAGAACCCCGAGCAGGGGAGUGAAAUAGACCCUGAACCCGUCUGCCUACAAGCGGUCGGAGCAUCGUCAAGAUGUGACGGCGUGCCUUUUGCAUAAUGAACCUACGAGUUACCUUCCCCGGCAAGGUUAAGUACCUAAGGUACGGAGCCGAAGCGAAAGCGAGUCUGAAUAGGGCGGCCAGUCGGGGGGGGUAGACGCGAAACCGAGUGAUCUACCCUUGGCCAGGUUGAAGGUUGGGUAACACCAACUGGAGGACCGGAUGGGUAAGCGUUGAAAAGCUUUCCAAUGAGCUGAGGGUAGGGGUGAAAGGCUAAUCAAACUCGGAGAUAGCUCGUACUCCCCGAAAUGCAUUUAGGUGCAGCCUCUUUAUAGUAUAUCGUGAGGUAGAGCGACUGAUUGGAUGCGAGGGCUUCACCGCCUAUCAAGUCCAGAUAAACUCCGAAUGCGCGAUAUAUAUUUAAAGGGAGUGAGGGCGCGGGUGCUAAGGUCCGUGUCCGAGAGGAGAAGAAUCCAGACCACCGGCUAAGGCCCCCAAAUGAUCGUUGAGUUGAACUAACGAGGUCGGAUCGCAGAGACAGCUAGGAUGUUGGCUUGGAAGCAGCCAUUCAUUUAAAGAGUGCGUAACAGCUCACUAGUCGAGCGAUCUGGCGUGGAUAAUAAUCGGGCAUAAACGAUCUGCCGAAGCCGUGGAUGUCGUAAGACAUGGUAGGGGAGCAUUCCAUGGGCGUCGAAGAUGAGGGAUGACCCUUGUUGGAGCGCAUGGAAAAGCAAAUGUAGGUAUGAGUAACGAUAAGGGGGGCGAGAAACCCCCCCGCCGAAAGACCAAGGUUUCCUGAUCAACGCUAAUCGGAUCAGGGUGAGUCGGGACCUAAGGCAAAGCCGAACGGCGCCGCCGAUGGAAGAAUGGGUUAAUAUUCCCAUACUGCCUCAUGGAGUGACGUGGAGACGGAGAAGUGACAGUCCUGCCGGCUGACGGAAUAGCCGGUUGAAGGGUGUAGAUAUUGAUUCCCGUAGGCAAAUCCGCGGGGAGAGUCGAACCUGAGAGUAUACGGAGCGCUUGCGCAACGUAAUAUGGACGUAACCAUGCUCCCGAGAAAAUCCGCUAAACUUAUCCAUGCGGCACCCGUACCGUAAACGGACACACGUGGUCGGGUUGAGAAUACUGAGGCGCUCGAGUGACUCACGGUUAAGGAACUAGGCAAAUUGACCCUGUAACUUCGGGAUAAAGGGUCCUCGUCGUAAGGCGAGGCGCAGAGAAUAGGUCCAGGCAACUGUUUAACAAAAACACAUGGCUGUGCUAAAUGGAAACAUGACGUAUACAGCCUGACACCUGCCCGGUGCUGGAAGGUUAAGAGGAGAUGUCAUCGCAAGAGAAGCGUUGAAUUGAAGCCCCAGUAAACGGCGGCCGUAACUAUAACGGUCCUAAGGUAGCGAAAUUCCUUGUCGGGUAAGUUCCGACCUGCACGAAUGGUGUAAUGAUCUGGACGCUGUCUCAACCGUGAGCUCAGUGAAAUUGUAGUAUCGGUGAAGAUGCCGAUUACCCGCGAUGGGACGAAAAGACCCCGUGAACCUUUACUAUAGCUUUACAUUGAAUUUGGGCAGACGAUGUGUAGGAUAGGCCGGAGGCUUUGAAGGGGGUACGCCAGUAUCCUUGGAGCCGCCGUUGAAAUACGGCCCUUCGGUUGUUUGAGUUCUAACUCCUAGGCAGGAGGACACUGUAUGGUGGGUAGUUUGACUGGGGUGGUCGCCUCCAAAAGCGUAACGGAGGCUUCUAAAGGUGCCCUCAGACCGAUUGGUAACCGGUCGCAGAGUGUAAUGGCAUAAGGGCGCUUGACUGGGAGAGAUACAACUCGAUCAGGUAGGAAACUAGAGCAUAGUGAUCCGGUGGUUCCGCAUGGAAGGGCCAUCGCUCAAAGGAUAAAAGGUACUCCGGGGAUAACAGGCUGAUCAUUCCCAAGAGCUCAUAUCGACGGAAUGGUUUGGCACCUCGAUGUCGGCUCGUCACAUCCUGGGGCUGGAGAAGGUCCCAAGGGUUGGGCUGUUCGCCCAUUAAAGUGGCACGCGAGCUGGGUUCAGAACGUCGUGAGACAGUUCGGUCUCUAUCUAUCGUGGGCGCAGGAGAUUUGAGGGGCUCUGACACUAGUACGAGAGGACCGUGUUGGACGUACCACUGGUUUACCGGUUGUCCCGCCAGGGGCACCGCCGGGUAUCUAAGUACGGAUCGGAUAAGUGCUGAAAGCAUCUAAGUACGAAGCCGGCCUCAAGAUUAGAUCUCCCUCAAGGGUGGUUAUAGACGAUGACCUUGAUAGGCCACAGGUGUAAGGGCGGCGACGUCCGAGCCGAGUGGUACUAAUAGCCCGGGACUUUCCUCA
rnacentral:rRNA from 1 species